CCUACGGGAGGCUGCAGUGGGGAAUAUUGCACAAUGGGGGAAACCCUGAUGCAGCGACGCCGCGUGAGUGAAGAAGUAUUUCGGUACGUAAAGCUCUAUCAGCAGGGAAGAAAAUGACGGUACCUGACUAAGAAGCCCCGGCUAACUACGUGCCAACAGCCGCGGUAAUACGUAGGGGGCAAGCGUUAUCCGGAUUUACUGGGUGUAAAGGGAGCGUAGACGGCAGCGCAAGUCUGGAGUGAAAUCCCAUGGCUUAACCAUGGAACUGCUUUGGAAACUGUGCAGCUAGAGUGCAGGAGAGGUAAGCGGAAUUCCUAGUGUAGCGGUGAAAUGCGUAGAUAUUAGGAGGAACACCAGUGGCGAAGGCGGCUUACUGGACUGUAACUGACGUUGAGGCUCGAAAGCGUGGGGAGCAAACAGGAUUAGAUACCCCAGUAGUC
rnacentral:rRNA from 1 species